CACUGGGUGGCGCCUUGCCUGGGAAGGCAUAAAGGUAAUCAGCCUCAAGUACACAGGUGUGUGGAGAAACGGGGAAAGCAGACAGCUUUUCACUGUGUUAGUGCGUAUAUGUGUUUGUUUUGUUUAACAAG